UCCGAUAUGGUGUAGUGGUUAACAUCGUUCGCUCUCAAGAUCUGAUCCAAUAGGAUCAGUGAAUAGGACCGAACAGCCCCGGGUUCGAUUCCCGGUGUCGGAA